AUUAGGCUGCUUUUGGAACAUAUAUAUAUAUACACACAGCCAGAAAUUUAUAUGGGAGAGAGAGACGUAUAUACACAAAAAGGCGGCGGAGAUAUACUGCACAAACAUAGAAAACGGGCGGCUGCUUCUGGAGAAAAACAAUUGAGGGCCAAAUUAAAUAUAUUAUAGAGACAAAAAAGUGGUUGCUUUGGGGAGAAAGUUGGUGUGGCUGAAUUGAAUAUAUAUCCACACAAAUUUGAGGGCUGAAUUGGAUAGAUACAUAGAGAGAACACGACAGACAAAAAACCAGGGAAUUACACAAGCAGAGAAGAGGAAGUAUAUAUGCAAAACGGCUGCCCGAAAUUUGGGAAGAGAAAACACGCGCAGAAGCCGAGGAAAAUUGAGAAAUAAAUUCACGUUUAUCUUUUUUUCCUUUUUUUUUAGCAUUAUGCUCGGCUAAAUUAUUUUGUAAUAAAAUUUUCGAUGAACUUUUAACUUUCAAAUUUUAUUUAUUUUGAAGUUAAAACACGUUUUCGAUUAUUGAAUGAUUG
rnacentral:lncRNA from 1 species